rnacentral:rRNA from 1 species
ACGCCUGCCCAGUGAACAAUUAAACGGCCGCGGUACCCUAACCGUGCAAAGGUAGCAUAAUCAUUUGUCUACUAAUUAUAGACCUGUAUGAAAGGCAAAAUGAGGGCUUAACUGUCUCUUAUAGUAAAUCAAUUAAACUGAUCUUCUAGUAAAAAAGCUAGAAUUACCACAUAAGACCAGAAGACCCUGUGAAGCUUAAACUAAACUAUUAAAUCCAAUAAUAACUACUUUAGGUUGGGGCGACCUUGGAAAAAAGAAUAACUUCCAAAAGUCUAAUGACAAACAUAGGCCAACAAGCCUAUAAUAAAAGACCCAGCAACGCUGAAAAUUGAACCAAGUUACUCCAGGGAUAACAGCGCAAUCUUCUUCAAGAGCCCAUAUCAAAAAGAAGGUUUACGACCUCGAUGUUGGAUCAGGACAUCCUAAUGGUGCAGAAGCUAUUAAGGGUUCGUUUGUUCAACGAUUAAUAGUCCUACGUGAUCUG